rnacentral:rRNA from 1 species
GCCCAGCUUGCUGGGUACUCGAGUGGCGAACGGGUGAGUAACACGUGGGUGAUCUGCCCUGCACUCUGGGAUAAGCCUGGGAAACUGGGUCUAAUACCGGAUAUGACCAACUGUCGCAUGGUGGUUGGUGGAAAGCUUUUGCGGUGUGGGAUGGGCCCGCGGCCUAUCAGCUUGUUGGUGGGGUAAUGGCCUACCAAGGCGACGACGGGUAGCCGACCUGAGAGGGUGAUCGGCCACACUGGGACUGAGACACGGCCCAGACUCCUACGGGAGGCAGCAGUGGGGAAUAUUGCACAAUGGGCGCAAGCCUGAUGCAGCGACGCCGCGUGAGGGAUGACGGCCUUCGGGUUGUAAACCUCUUUCACCAGGGACGAAGCGUGAGUGACGGUACCUGGAGAAGAAGCACCGGCCAACUACGUGCCAGCAGCCGCGGUAAUACGUAGGGUGCGAGCGUUGUCCGGAAUUACUGGGCGUAAAGAGCUCGUAGGCGGUUUGUCGCGUCGUCUGUGAAAUUCUGCAACUCAAUUGCAGGCGUGCAGGCGAUACGGGCAGACUUGAGUACUACAGGGGAGACUGGAAUUCCUGGUGUAGCGGUGAAAUGCGCAGAUAUCAGGAGGAACACCGGUGGCGAAGGCGGGUCUCUGGGUAGUAACUGACGCUGAGGAGCGAAAGCGUGGGUAGCGAACAGGA